rfam:Populus trichocarpa scaffold_13_contig_8, whole genome shotgun sequence.
UAAUCUGUUCGUGGCAGAUCUUCAUCUAGCUAUGACAGAUUCAUACCUGACUGCUUAGAAUUACAAUCGCAUGUUUGACUACAUCACCAAGACUACUUACUAGUCGCUUAAGCAAGUG